CUGACUUUGUUACAGUUCUCCAGUGGCCUUCCAGGAGCCGUGCGGCGUUUUGCAAGAGUGAGUUUGCUUUGUGUUUGUGCAGCUCAAGUCCUCAGAAGAGACUCCAGGAAGAAUUAGUGUGGCAGGAGACCACAGUGUCCUCUCUGCCUCCACAGAUGACCAUUUUACUGACACUCUCCUGCACCAGUUUGAGGCCCCUACUUCGGAUCAACUCAUUAUCCCGAAUAAACGAUGUGUCAUUCCCAUUAUUUAUGUUUCACUGCAGCCAAAGUAUCUGGACCUCGUUUUGCAUGCGUCUGGUGACAUCGGGUGCCACCGACACACCCUCGGAGAUGCCGACACUUUAUGUUAGAAGAACACAGUAUGCAAGUGAAUCUGUGCCCAUAUUCCCACAUUUAGAUGGGAAAAAUCCCAAACAGACAUGUGGUAGUAUCAUUUGAAUGGCAUAGAUUCUUAAAUACAUUUGUCACGUUGUACA